CAGCAGCCGCGGGAAUACGUAGGGUGCGGGCGUUAAUCGGAAUUACUGGGCGUAAAGCGUGCGCAGGCGGUUUUGUAAGACAGGCGUGAAAUCCCCGGGCUCAACCUGGGAAUGGCGCUUGUGACUGCAAAGCUAGAGUGCGGCAGAGGGGGAUGGAAUUCCGCGUGUAGCAGUGAAAUGCGUAGAUAUGCGGAGGAACACCGAUGGCGAAGGCAAUCCCCUGGGCCUGCACUGACGCUCAUGCACGAAAGCGUGGGGAGCAAACAGGAUUAGAUACCCCAGUAGUCCCUGUCUCUUAUAC
rnacentral:rRNA from 1 species